UCUAACAUCUUCAUUAAACUUCUUAAACUGCAAUCGGACUCUGAGCACAGCAGCAACUUUCAGAAAAAGGCAGAGAAAGAGUAUUCUGCAAGUACAAUGGUGAAGUGAAAGCGAGCGUUUCUAAGUAACGAAUUUAAAGAAGGGAGAAGAACAGUAGGUUGAACAAAAGAUGUUUACUAGUUCACUGAUUUAUGCAACUUGCCCUACCAUGUGCAAGGAGAAGCCAAAUGUUAGAGAGAGUUUUUAUAUAGAAAAAUUGUGUGGUUUACGGUAAGCCGGAGG
rnacentral:misc_RNA from 1 species